rnacentral:rRNA from 1 species
GUUAAGCAGUAAAUGUGGAGCCGUAGCGAAAGCGAGUCUGAAUAGGGCGUUUAGUAUUUGGUCGUAGACCCGAAACCAGGUGAUCUACCCUUGGUCAGGUUGAAGUUCAGGUAACACUGAAUGGAGGACCGAACCGACUUACGUUGAAAAGUGAGCGGAUGAACUGAGGGUAGCGGAGAAAUUCCAAUCGAACCUGGAGAUAGCUGGUUCUCUCCGAAAUAGCUUUAGGGCUAGCCUCAAGUGAUGAUUAUUGGAGGUAGAGCACUGUUUGGACGAGGGGCCCCUCUCGGGUUACCGAAUUCAGACAAACUCCGAAUGCCAAUUAAUUUAACUUGGGAGUCAGAACAUGGGUGAUAAGGUCCGUGUUCGAAAGGGAAACAGCCCAGAUCACCAGCUAAGGUCCCAAAAUAUAUGUUAAGUGGAAAAGGAUGUGGCGUUGCCCAGACAACUAGGAUGUUGGCUUAGAAGCAGCCAUCAUUUAAAGAGUGCGUAAUAGCUCACUAGUCGAGUGACACUGCGCCGAAAAUGUACCGGGGCUAAACAUAUUACCGAAGCUGUGGAUUGUCCUUUGGACAAUGGUAGGAGAGCGUUCUAAGGGCGUUGAAGCAUGAUCGUAAGGACAUGUGGAGCGCUUAGAAGUGAGAAUGCCGGUGUGAGUAGCGAAAGACGGGUGAGAAUCCCGUCCACCGAUUGACUAAGGUUUCCAGAGGAAGGCUCGUCCGCUCUGGGUUAGUCGGGUCCUAAGCUGAGGCCGACAGGCGUAGGCGAUGGAUAACAGGUUGAUAUUCCUGUACCACCUAUAAUCGUUUUAAUCGAUGGGGGGACGCAGUAGGAUAGGCGAAGCGUGCGAUUGGAUUGCACGUCUAAGCAGUAAGGCUGAGUAUUAGGCAAAUCCGGUACUCGUUAAGGCUGAGCUGUGAUGGGGAGAAGACAUUGUGUCUUCGAGUCGUUGAUUUCACACUGCCGAGAAAAGCCUCUAGAUAGAAAAUAGGUGCCCGUACCGCAAACCGACACAGGUAGUCAAGAUGAGAAUUCUAAGGUGAGCGAGCGAACUCUCGUUAAGGAACUCGGCAAAAUGACCCCGUAACUUCGGGAGAAGGGGUGCUCUUUAGGGUUAACGCCCAGAAGAGCCGCAGUGAAUAGGCCCAAGCGACUGUUUAUCAAAAACACAGGUCUCUGCUAAACCGUAAGGUGAUGUAUAGGGGCUGACGCCUGCCCGGUGCUGGAAGGUUAAGAGGAGUGGUUAGCUUCUGCGAAGCUACGAAUCGAAGCCCCAGUAAACGGCGGCCGUAACUAUAACGGUCCUAAGGUAGCGAAAUUCCUUGUCGGGUAAGUUCCGACCCGCACGAAAGGCGUAACGAUUUGGGCACUGUCUCAACGAGAGACUCGGUGAAAUCAUAGUACCUGUGAAGAUGCAGGUUACCCGCGACAGGACGGAAAGACCCCGUGGAGCUUUACUGUAGCCUGAUAUUGAAAUUCGGCACAGCUUGUACAGGAUAGGUAGGAGCCUUUGAAACGUGAGCGCUAGCUUACGUGGAGGCGCUGGUGGGAUACUACCCUAGCUGUGUUGGCUUUCUAACCCGCACCACUUAUCGUGGUGGGAGACAGUGUCAGGCGGGCAGUUUGACUGGGGCGGUCGCCUCCUAAAAGGUAACGGAGGCGCUCAAAGGUUCCCUCAGAAUGGUUGGAAAUCAUUCAUAGAGUGUAAAGGCAUAAGGGAGCUUGACUGCGAGACCUACAAGUCGAGCAGGGUCGAAAGACGGACUUAGUGAUCCGGUGGUUCCGCAUGGAAGGGCCAUCGCUCAACGGAUAAAAGCUACCCCGGGGAUAACAGGCUUAUCUCCCCCAAGAGUUCACAUCGACGGGGAGGUUUGGCACCUCGAUGUCGGCUCAUCGCAUCCUGGGGCUGUAGUCGGUCCCAAGGGUUGGGCUGUUCGCCCAUUAAAGCGGUACGCGAGCUGGGUUCAGAACGUCGUGAGACAGUUCGGUCCCUAUCCGUCGUGGGCGUAGGAAAUUUGAGAGGAGCUGUCCUUAGUACGAGAGGACCGGGAUGGACAUACCUCUGGUGUACCAGUUGUCGUGCCAACGGCAUAGCUGGGUAGCUAUGUGUGGACGGGAUAAGUGCUGAAAGCAUCUAAGCAUGAAGCCCCCCUCAAGAUGAGAUUUCCCAACUUCGGUUAUAAGAUCCCUCAAAGAUGAUGAGGUUAAUAGGUUCGAGGUGGAAGCAUGGUGACAUGUGGAGCUGACGAAUACUAAUCGAUCGAAGACUUAAUCAA